rnacentral:rRNA from 1 species
UACAGAGGGUGCAAGCGUUAAUCGGAAUUACUGGGCGUAAAGCGUGCGUAGACGGUUGCGUAAGUCAGAUGUGAAAGCCCCGGGCUCAACCUGGGAAUUGCAUUUGAGACUGCGUAGCUAGGGUGCGGAAGAGGGAAGCGGAAUUUCCGGUGUAGCGGUGAAAUGCGUAGAGAUCCGGAGGAACACCGAAGGCGAAGGCAGUGUCCUGGCGAGUGACUGACGCUGAGGUGCGAAAGCCAGGGGAGCGAACGGG